ACUGAGACACGUGCUCGAACUCCUACGGGAGGCAGCAGUGGGGAAUCUUCCGCAAUGGGCGCAAGCCUGACGGAGCAAACGCCGCGUGAGUGAAGAAGGGUUUCGACUCGUAAAGCUCUGUUGUCGGGGACGAAUGUGGAGAUGGUGAAUAACCAUUUCAAUGACGGUACCUGACGAGGAAGCCACGGCUAACUACGUGC
rnacentral:rRNA from 1 species